rnacentral:ncRNA from 2 species
AUAGAAUGGCAAGCUUGCAGUGCGAGGAAGCCGGUGUGAAUCCGGCGCGGUCGCGCCACUGUAAGCGGUUUGCGCAAAAGCCUAAGCCGCGAGUCAGACUCUGCUGCAUGCUCUUCGUCAAC